AAGGGGAGCAAUCCCUGAGUACAGUGGCGUUACGGGUGAGUAACACGUGGGUAAUCUGCCUCGAGGUGGGGAAUAACUCUGGGAAACCGGAGCUAAUACCGCAUAAGCCUGAAAAGGGAAAGGCGCAAGUCGCCUGGAGAGGAGCCCGCGGCCGAUUAGCUAGUUGGUAGGGUAAGAGCCUACCAAGGCAGAGAUCGGUAGCCGGCCUGAGAGGGCACACGGCCACACUGGCACUGAAACACGGGCCAGACUCCUACGGGAGGCAGCAGUGGGGAAUCUUGCACAAUGGGGGAAACCCUGAUGCAGCGACGCCGCGUGAGCGAUGAAGCCCUUCGGGGUGUAAAGCUCUUUCGGCCGGAACGAUAAUGACGGUACCGGCAGAAGAAGCUGCGGCUAACUACGUGCCAGCAGCCGCGGUAAUACGUAGGCAGCGAGCGUUGUUCGGAGUUACUGGGCGUAAAGCGUGCGUAGGCGGUUUUCCAAGUCUGGUGUGAAAUCUCCCGGCUCAACCGGGAGGGUGCGCUAGAAACUGGGAGGCUGGAGUGCGGGAGAGGUAGGCGGAAUUCCUGGUGUAGCGGUGAAAUGCGUAGAUAUCAGGAGGAACACCGGUGGUGUAGACGGCUUACUGGACCGCGACUGACGCUGAGGCACGAAAGCGUGGGGAGCAAACAGGAUUAGAUACCCUGGUAGUCCACGCCCUAAACGAUGCAUACUUGGUGUGGGCAGUUCAGUCUGUCUGUGCCGUAGCUAACGCGUUAAGUAUGCCGCCUGGGGAGUACGGUCGCAAGGCUGAAACU
rnacentral:rRNA from 1 species